rnacentral:lncRNA from 1 species
CUGAGGAGGCAGAGGACGGCCCGGAGUCUCGUAGCGCACCGCCCUGGUCCCACACCCCCCGCAGCCCUAGGAGGAUCGGUGUGCUGAGCUUGUGGCCAGGAGCUCCCCGAGCCACUUUCGCGCGAGCAGCAGAAAACCUGAGCCGCGGCCCGGCGAGUGUCGGCGGCGCUCUGGGGAGGAGAGGCUGGGAAGGGGCUGCGAGAGAUGCUACUUAAGAACGUGAGGCUGAGAGGCGGACUUGGUCAGAUCUGCCUGCGUGACAAGCUCAGGACAGGACGCUUCUGCCCUUGCAUUACUGUUGUAAAAGUUUCCACCCAGUCCCUGGUCGCACUGCGUUCCCAUCCCGGCAGAUGUGAACUCAAAAACUUCCUCCGCUGUGCAGUUUCAAUUGGCAGACACACCCUGUACCUGAAUGACUCAGAAGGAGGCAGAAUGAACAAACAACAGACCCCUGACUUCUGGGAUUUUGUGAGUUUGCCAAAAAAAAAAAAAAAAGAAGUGACAGUUAAUUCACAGCUGUUUUAAAGCAUUCAUCGACAGCGACGCACCCAAUACAUACCCACAGCUUCAACAACAGUACAGUGCAUAUAAUGUGGAAACCAAGAUAACGGUCCUCUAAGACUCCAGAGUAGAUCCUAAUUGGAUUUGAAGACUUAUUUCACUUAAAGGGGAAGAGGUAUAUUGUGUCUACCCAGCACAACAAAACGGGGGACUUGGCAUUCCCCCCCUUCUCCCGCCUCCACCCACACUAAUUUAUGCAUUCUUUAAAGCCAAAGGAAUCAAAGUGAAAUUUCACACCUAGUCUGUAUCAAGCAUGUGCUAGGUUAAUUUAACCUUACUGCUCUGUGAAGUAAGUAAGCAUUGCUGGCCAUUUUAUUGUUGAGAGAAGUGUCAUUCAGACAACUAAGGUGACUUGUAGAUUUCCCAGCUAGUGAGUGGCAGAGCUGGGUUCCAAAACCUAAAUAUUGCAAAUGCCUUGCCUUGUGGCUCAAACGCUAUCAGUCAAUAAAUAGUUAAGGAAUUGAAAUAUAUGUUCCUAGAGGGAAACAGACUUCUAGAUUUAAAGUUUUACAUUUGCUGCAUUUCUGACUGUACAAGUCUACAAAAUGCAUAUAAAAGUAUGCUAAUGAAUGUCCUUUUAAAACCACUCAUUUUCUACGUAAGCAUACAAAGUGUAUACAUAUGCAUAUUAAUGAAUGUUUUCUGAAACUUCAAAAAAAAA